rnacentral:rRNA from 1 species
CCUACGGGGGGCUGCAGUGGGGAAUAUUGCACAAUGGGCGCAAGCCUGAUGCAGCCAUGCCGCGUGUGUGAAGAAGGCCUUCGGGUUGUAAAGCACUUUCAGCGGGGAGGAAGGCGGUGAGGUUAAUAACCUCAUCGAUUGACGUUACCCGCAGAAGAAGCACCGGCUAACUCCGUGCCAGCAGCCGCGGUAAUACGGAGGGUGCAAGCGUUAAUCGAAAUUACUGGGCGUAAAGCGCACGCAGGCGGUCUGUCAAGUCGGAUGUGAAAUCCCCGGGCUCAACCUGGGAACUGCAUUCGAAACUGGCAGGCUAGAGUCUUGUAGAGGGGGGUAGAAUUCCAGGUGUAGCGGUGAAAUGCGUAGAGAUCUGGAGGAAUACCGGUGGCGAAGGCGGCCCCCUGGACAAAGACUGACGCUCAGGUGCGAAAGCGUGGGGAGCAAACAGGAUUAGAUACCCGGGUAGUC